GGUCAAUGAUGUGACGGCAUGUAUUACCUGAAUCCAGAGCUGAUGUAUAACUCAACUUUAGCUCUAGAAUUACUCUGAGGCCUU